GGGCUUUUUUUUUUAUUGUUGUGGGGGACAACUUACCGAUACAAACAGGAAUCUUGCGGCUUUUCUUUGUCACGAAAAAAGCUGAGAGUUUCUCGGCCAAGGAAACACAGAAUCGUCAAACAAACAUUGCUGAACUUGUAGAGCAGACGUAGCAGCAUGGGUAUAGAUGCUAUUAGAUCUCACAAUUGUGGGGUUUUUGGUGAUUCAUCAACAUCUAGAACUUGCUGCUGAGUUGGUUGAAUUGUCAAACACCAGUUCAUGAUUUCAUUUAGUUGACCAAAAGCUGGCUGCUAGAAUUGAAGUAAUUUUCAUUGAAAUCUUCUCUAUCUUUGAAAAAGCUCGAAGACUUAAUUACCAGCUAGCUGUAGCAAGUGGCAUCGUUAUCCUCUGAUCAUAUCUACCAAGUAUUGUAUUUUCUUUGACUGACAAUAUUUCUUUAUUUAUUUUUUAGAUAGACGACCCUACCCUACCUCUUCCCUCUAUGUCUUAUGUCCUUCAGUUUUGCGAGCCACACAUCUAAUGGCCACCACGUACGGGGAUGGGACCAUUUGCUCGUUGUUUUCCUUGUUUUAUCUACUUCAUAGGAGGCGUGGAAUAAUGUGGAUCAUAACAUGCAUGCCACAACAAUCUAGAUUCUAGAGCCAAAACGUACAGCAUAGCCGUAGGCAAACUGUACAGCCGGGAGGAUUGGCUAAGAAAUUAACUGUAUAUUUUGUAUGCACGACAGCGAGUCGAUGACCCUAAGCAAGCGCGUCGAUGACCCUCAAGCAAGAGAAUAGGUGCAGGGCCUGCGGGCAUUU